CUACGGAGGGUGCGAGCGUUAAUCGGAAUUACUGGGCGUAAAGCGUACGUAGGCGGUUGGUUAAGUUAGAUGUGAAAGCCCCGGGCUUAACCUGGGAACUGCAUUUAAAACUGGCGAACUAGAGUUGAGUAGAGGGGAGUGGAAUUUCAGGUGUAGCGGUGAAAUGCGUAGAGAUCUGAAGGAACACCAGUGGCGAAGGCGACUCCCUGGACUCGAACUGACGCUGAGGUACGAAAGCGUGGGUAGCAAACGGGAUUAGAUACCCGUGUAGUCC
rnacentral:rRNA from 1 species